UAGGGAAUCUUCGGCAAUGGGGGGAACCCUGACCGAGCAACGCCGCGUGAGUGAAGAAGGUCUUCGGAUCGUAAAGCUCUGUUGUUAAGGAAGAACGAGUGUGAGAAUGGAAAGUUCAUGCUGUGACGGUACUUAACCAGAAAGGGACGGCUAACUACGUGCCAGCAGCCGCGGUAAUACGUAGGUCCCGAGCGUUGUCCGGAUUUAUUGGGCGUAAAGCGAGCGCAGGCGGUUAGAAAAGUCUGAAGUGAAAGGCAGUGGCUCAACCAUUGUAGGCUUUGGAAACUGUUUAACUUGAGUGCAGAAGGGGAGAGUGGAAUUCCAUGUGGAGCGGUGAAAUGCGUAGAUAUAUGGAGGAACACCGGUGGCGAAGGCGGCUCUCUGGUCUGUAACUGACGCUGAGGCUGGAAAGCGUGGGGAGCGAACAGG
rnacentral:rRNA from 1 species